UUCGGGGUACUCGAGUGGCGAACGGGUGAGUAACACGUGGGUGAUCUGCCCUGCACUUUGGGAUAAGCCUGGGAAACUGGGUCUAAUACCGAAUAGGACCACGCGCUUCAUGGUGUGUGGUGGAAAGCUUUUGCGGUGUGGGAUGGGCCCGCGGCCUAUCAGCUUGUUGGUGGGGUAAUGGCCUACCAAGGCGACGACGGGUAGCCGGCCUGAGAGGGUGACCGGCCACACUGGGACUGAGAUACGGCCCAGACUCCUACGGGAGGCAGCAGUGGGGAAUAUUGCACAAUGGGCGCAAGCCUGAUGCAGCGACGCCGCGUGAGGGAUGACGGCCUUUCGGGUUGUAAACCUCUUUCAAUAGGGACGAAGCGCAAGUGACGGUACCUAUAGAAGAAGCACCGGCCAACUACGUGCCAGCAGCCGCGGUAAUACGUAGGGUGCGAGCGUUGUCCGGAAUUACUGGGCGUAAAGAGCUCGUAGGUGGUUUGUCGCGUUGUUCGUGAAAACUCACAGCUUAACUGUGGGCGUGCGGGCGAUACGGGCAGACUAGAGUACUGCAGGGGAGACUGGAAUUCCUGGUGUAGCGGUGGAAUGCGCAGAUAUCAGGAGGAACACCGGUGGCGAAGGCGGGUCUCUGGGCAGUAACUGACGCUGAGGAGCGAAAGCGUGGGGAGCGAACAGGAUUAGAUACCCUGGUAGUCCACGCCGUAAACGGUGGGUACUAGGUGUGGGUUCCUUCCUUGGGAUCCGUGCCGUAGCUAACGCAUUAAGUACCCCGCCUGGGGAGUACGGCCGCAAGGCUAAAACUCAAAGGAAUUGACGGGGGCCCGCACAAGCGGCGGAGCAUGUGGAUUAAUUCGAUGCAACGCGAAGAACCUUACCUGGGUUUGACAUGCACAGGACGCCGGCAGAGAUGUCGGUUCCCUUGUGGCCUGUGUGCAGGUGGUGCAUGGCUGUCGUCAGCUCGUGUCGUGAGAUGUUGGGUUAAGUCCCGCAACGAGCGCAACCCUUGUCCUAUGUUGCCAGCGGGUUAUGCCGGGGACUCGUAGGAGACUGCCGGGGUCAACUCGGAGGAAGGUGGGGAUGACGUCAAGUCAUCAUGCCCCUUAUGUCCAGGGCUUCACACAUGCUACAAUGGCCGGUACAAAGGGCUGCGAUGCCGUGAGGUGGAGCGAAUCCUUUCAAAGCCGGUCUCAGUUCGGAUCGGGGUCUGCAACUCGACCCCGUGAAGUCGGAGUCGCUAGUAAUCGCAGAUCAGCAACGCUGCGGUGAAUACGUUCCCGGGCCUUGUACACACCGCCCGUCACGUCAUGAAAGUCGGUAACACCCGAAGCCGG
rnacentral:rRNA from 1 species